rnacentral:rRNA from 1 species
GACGAACGCUGGCGGCGUGCUUAACACAUGCAAGUCGAACGGAAAGGCCUGCUUUCCCUUGUGGAUUGCGGGUACUCGAGUGGCGAACGGGUGAGUAACACGUGAGUGAUCUGCCCCCAACUUGGGUAUAAGCCUGGGAAACUGGGUCUAAUUCCCGAUAGGACUGCAGGGUGGUGCCUGUGGUGGAAAACGAUUUUCUAGUGGUUGGGGAUGAGCUCGCGGCCUAUCAGCUUGUUGGUGGGGUAAUGGCCUACCAAGGCGGCGACGGGUAGCCGGCCUGAGAGGGUGGACGGCGACAUUGGGACUGAGUUGCGGCCCAGACUCCUACGGGAGGCAGCAGUGGGGAAUAUUGCACGAUGGGCGGAAGCCUGAUGCAGCGACGCCGCGUGGGGGAUGACGGCCUUCGGGUUGUAAACUCCUUUCGACCGCGAGGAAGCCACCUGGUUGGAAGGGUGGUGACGGUAGUGGUAGAAGAAGCACCGGCUAACUACGUG